rnacentral:lncRNA from 1 species
GACGGGACUGAGAGCUCUGAAAGGAGGGAGGCGGCUCCCGAGUACUCCGCGCGGGGCAGGCCCCGGCCUCGCCUCUUCGCCCAUUUUUAAGGCUCGAGUUAGAGGCCACCUCCUCCGAGAAGCCUUCGGUGACACCACCUCUCCCAGACGGUUCCCCUUUCUGAUUCCCACAGCAUUUUCCAACCAUUCACGCCGUCUUCCUUCCUCAUUGUGGUUUGGACCUUCUCGAGAAAGAAUCUGGCCUCAGUCUCCCUCUUCCACACUCAGGGACCGCCACCAUCACAGGCACUCGGUAGAUGUCUGCUGAAUGAGGAUAACUUCUACCCAACACCGUGAAGCCUGGCCCAGGGUCUGGCAUACAGAUGCCGUGUUUGUAAGUCCUGGUUGCUCAUCUCGCCCACUUGCACAGCCCACCUGUGUGGCCGACUCAGGAUUGACCCACCUGCUCUCUUCAGGCCAUAUUCCCACGCAGAAGUGGGUCCCACUCCUCAGGCCUCUGUGCUGGCCCCGUCUGUGGGGUUAGCAAGCAGCCCUGCUCUCCAUUUCCAGCUCAGAAGCAACUGGAUCGUUGUAAGUGAUUUCUAUCUUUCCCAGCGCCCUGUUGGGCCUGUGGGGACUUGGCUUGGUUGGCUCAAUUUUCUGAGUACAAGUAGAAACCUGAGGUUGAGUGAGGCAGGCAGUGGCUGGGCUGAGAUAUUGUAGGAGGGUAAUAUCAGGUCAUUUCUCCACCAUGCAGAGUGUAGUUUUUGUUGGUCUGUGUGUCGGUGUGGUUAGGGAGGUAUUAGUAUGUAUAUUUGAGUGAGCAUACAUACUUAGAUUGCAUGUGGGCUCUGAUGUUUGUGGGUAGCAGGGGAUAUGGAUAUGUGUUCACUAUGUUAGUAAGCACAUAUAAUGGUAUCUGUUGAAGAAAGUCGUCUUGUGAAAUGUGGGUGUUAUGGUAGAGUGUACAUUUUGGUGGAGUAUGUCUGAGUGUAGCUGGUGCAAAUACUAAUUUGAUCUUUCCUCUUUACAGACCUCAUUGGUGACAACUUGACUGUGCUGCCCAGAGCUGAUAAGAAACAUCACCCGGGGAAGACCAGCUGCCUCUUCCUUGCUUCCUAAUCAGGGUGGAAAUACUGCUAAAUAUAUCACAACUCUUUGCAAGCA